AACGAACGCUGGCGGCAGGCCUAACACAUGCAAGUCGAGCGAGGACUUCGGUCCUAGCGGCGGACGGGUGAGUAACGCGUGGGAACGUGCCCUUUGCUACGGAAUAGCCCUGGGAAACUGGGAGUAAUACCGUAUGUGCCCUUUGGGGGAAAGAUUUAUCGGCAAAGGAUCGGCCCGCGUUGGAUUAGGUAGUUGGUGGGGUAAUGGCCUACCAAGCCGACGAUCCAUAGCUGGUUUGAGAGGAUGAUCAGCCACACUGGGACUGAGACACGGCCCAGACUCCUACGGGAGGCAGCAGUGGGGAAUCUUAGACAAUGGGGGAAACCCUGAUCUAGCCAUGCCGCGUGAGCGAUGAAGGCCUUAGGGUUGUAAAGCUCUUUCAGUGGGGAAGAUAAUGACGGUACCCACAGAAGAAGCCCCGGCUAACUCCAUGCCAGCCGCCGCAGUAAUAC
rnacentral:rRNA from 1 species